rnacentral:rRNA from 1 species
UACGGAGGGAGCUAGCGUUAUUCGGAAUUACUGGGCGUAAAGCGCACGUAGGCGGCUUUGUAAGUUAGAGGUGAAAGCCUGGAGCUCAACUCCAGAACUGCCUUUAAACUGCAUCGCUUGAAUCCAGGAGAGGUGAGUGGAAUUCCGAGUGUAGAGGUGAAAUUCGUAGAUAUUCGGGAAGAAGCACCCAGUGGCGAAGG